CGCGGGGUGGAGCAGCCUGGUAGCUCGUCGGGCUCAUAACCCGAAGGUCGUCGGUUCUGAAUCGGCUAUCCCCUCAU
rnacentral:tRNA from 1 species